GACGAAGGAUGCAAGCGUUAUUCGGAAUCAUUGGGCUUAAAGGGUGCGUAGGCGGCCUUAUAAGUCAGUGGUGAAAUCUCUGGGCUUAACCCAGAAAUUGCCAUUGAUACUGUAGGGCUUGAGUAUAGAUGCCGUUGGCGGAAUAUGACAUGUAGUGGUGAAAUACAUAGAGAUGUCAUAGAACACCGAUUGCGAAGGCAGCUAACGAAACUAUAACUGACACUGAGGCUCGAAAGUGUGGGGAUCAAACAGG
rnacentral:rRNA from 1 species